AGAAUCUCUGGGCCGAACUAGGGAAAGAAGAAGGUCCCGAAGCCCUACUCCUCAGAGAUCAAAGAGGACAUAUCACCCCGUCGAUUCUAGGGGACAGGGACGAAGCGAAAGAAGAGGUCGAUCCAGGGAUCGCACUCCAGAGCAUACAAAGAAAGCAAUUGUUGUUGCACAUUCUCACCAUAGCGCCCGAGUUCAGAGGCGAAGCAUAUCGAGAGGACAUACUCCCGAGAGUCUACUGAGGGCACCCCGCCCUGUAGACACUCGUCAUCGG
rnacentral:lncRNA from 1 species